GCGCGCCUCGCCGACGACGGCGCGGCGCUCGCGGCGGCGCACCAGGCGUGGGCCGACGGCGCGGCGAUCCUCGACGUCGGGGGAGUGC
rnacentral:tRNA from 1 species